GGCGCCAUCGUCUAGCGGUUAGGACAUUGCCCUCUCACGGCGAAAACAGGGGUUCGAUUCCCCUUGGCGCU
rnacentral:tRNA from 1 species